UGAGGAAGAGGCUAUUGAUGACUCAAUGACUUUUAGCAUUCAGAGUGCUGCUUCUGUUUCUAAUAUGGCUGAUCGUUUGCGUGCUAGAGCAAACGAGGUUCAGAUUUUAACAACUGAAAAUUCGUCUCUCCAAAGAAUGCUUCAUGAGUCUCAACAGGAGGUUGAGAAACUUAAAGGAGAGAAUAAUGCCUUGUUGAAACUGGUGAGUUCGUACUCUGUUGAUACACUCAGAAGGCUAGACAUGCUGCAGGUCUCCAAUGAAAG
rnacentral:lncRNA from 1 species